rnacentral:rRNA from 1 species
GAUGAACGCUGGCGGCGUGCCUAAUACAUGCAAGUCGAGCGAACGGACGAGAAGCUUGCUCCUCUGAUGUUAGCGGCGGACGGGUGAGUAACACGUGGAUAACCUACCUAUAAGACUGGGAUAACUUCGGGAAACCGGAGCUAAUACCGGAUAAUAUUUUGAACCGCAUGGUUCAAAAGUGAAAGACGGUCUUGCUGUCACUUAUAGAUGGAUCCGCGCUGCAUUAGCUAGUUGGUAAGGUAACGGCUUACCAAGGCAACGAUGCAUAGCCGACCUGAGAGGGUGAUCGGCCACACUGGAACUGAGACACGGUCCAGACUCCUACGGGAGGCAGCAGUAGGGAAUCUUCCGCAAUGGGCGAAAGCCUGACGGAGCAACGCCGCGUGAGUGAUGAAGGUCUUCGGAUCGUAAAACUCUGUUAUUAGGGAAGAACAUAUGUGUAAGUAACUGUGCACAUCUUGACGGUACCUAAUCAGAAAGCCACGGCUAACUACGUGCCAGCAGCCGCGGUAAUACGUAGGUGGCAAGCGUUAUCCGGAAUUAUUGGGCGUAAAGCGCGCGUAGGCGGUUUUUUAAGUCUGAUGUGAAAGCCCACGGCUCAACCGUGGAGGGUCAUUGGAAACUGGAAAACUUGAGUGCAGAAGAGGAAAGUGGAAUUCCAUGUGUAGCGGUGAAAUGCGCAGAGAUAUGGAGGAACACCAGUGGCGAAGGCGACUUUCUGGUCUGUAACUGACACUGAGGCACGAAAGCGUGGGUAGCAAACAGG